UAGUAAGAGGAAAAUCCGUCGACUUUAGAAAU
rnacentral:tRNA from 1 species